UGCGGAACGCUUUACACAUGCAAGUCGAACGGUAACGCGGGGUGAAGCUUGCUUCUCUCCGGCGACGAGUGGCGAACGGGUGAGUAAUACAUCGGAACGUGUCCGCUCGUGGGGGACAACCAGCCGAAAGGUUGGCUAAUACCGCAUGAGUUCUACGGAAGAAAGAGGGGGACCCGCAAGGGCCUCUCGCGAGCGGAGCGGCCGAUGACUGAUUAGCCGGUUGGUGAGGUAACGGCUCACCAAAGCAACGAUCAGUAGCUGGUCUGAGAGGACGACCAGCCACACUGGGACUGAGACACGGCCCAGACUCCUACGGGAGGCAGCAGUGGGGAAUUUUGGACAAUGGGCGCAAGCCUGAUCCAGCUAUUCCGCGUGUGGGAUGAGGGCCCUCGGGUUGUAAACCACUUUUGUAGAGAACGAAAAGACACCUUUUAAUAAAGGGUGUUGCUGACGGUACUCUAAGAAUAAGCACCGGCUAACUACGUGCCAGCAGCCGCGGUAAUACGUAGGGUGCGAGCGUUAAUCGGAAUUACUGGGCGUAAAGGGUGCGCAGGCGGUUGAGUAAGACAGAUGUGAAAUCCCCGAGCUUAACUCGGGAAUGGCAUAUGUGACUGCUCGACUAGAGUGUGUCAGAGGGAGGUGGAAUUCCACGUGUAGCAGUGAAAUGCGUAGAUAUGUGGAAGAACACCGAUGGCGAAGGCAGCCUCCUGGGACAUAACUGACGCUCAGGCACGAAAGCGUGGGGAGCAAACAGGAUUAGAUACCCUGGUAGUCCACGCCCUAAACGAUGUUAACUAGUUGUUGGGAAGUAAUAUUCUCAGUAACGCAGCCAACGCGAGAAGUUAACCGCCUGGGAAGUACGGUCGCAAGACUAAAACUCAAAGGAAUUGACGGGGACCCGCACAAGCGGUGGAUGAUGUGGAUUAAUUCGAUGCAACGCGAAAAACCUUACCUACCCUUGACAUGUCAGGAAGCUCUUGUAAUGAGAGUGUGCCCGCAAGGGAGCCUGAACACAGGUGCUGCGUGGCUGUCGUCAGCUCGUGUCGUGAGAUGUUGGGUUAAGUCCCGCAACGAGCGCAACCCUUGUCACUAGUUGCUACGAAAGGGCACUCUAGUGAGACUGCCGGUGACAAACCGGAGGAAGGUGGGGAUGACGUCAAGUCCUCAUGGCCCUUAUGGGUAGGGCUUCACACGUCAUACAAUGGUCGGAACAGAGGGCAGCGAAGCCGUGAGGCGGAGCCAAUCCCAGAAAACCGAUCGUAGUCCGGAUUGCAGUCUGCAACUCGACUGCAUGAAGUCGGAAUCGCUAGUAAUCGCGGAUCAGCAUGCCGCGGUGAAUACGUUCCCGGGUCUUAUACACACCGCCCGUCAAACAAUGGGAGUGGUGUUUACCAGAAGUCGUUAGCCUAACCGCAAGGAGGGCGGCGACCACGGUGAGCACCGU
rnacentral:rRNA from 1 species